UUCACAUGCAAGUGAUUUUUAUUUUUAUUUUUGAACAUCUAAUCAUAGUCUAUGAAAUUAGCCAUUUGUUCCCAAAAUAGAAAUGCGUAAAGAGAAACAACUAUAAACUUGUCCGAAGAUAUAUGCUAACAAAUGGCAAAUACAGGCAGACAUGGCUAAAUCACAGCUUAGUUUUAUAUCCAGUCGUAGGCCGUCGGUUUUGGGUUUGUUGAAGCAAAAUUUUGUAUUAAGAAAAAAACAAAAACAAAAAGAGGGGCUUCAGGACCACCUCUGACAAACCCGCUGCUUUGUAAGGGCGACGGAGGGUUGAGGUCGAAGAAACAUGAAGCUAUGGAAGAGGGCCGUUGGUGCUGUCAAAGAUAAGAACAGCAUAGUGGUGGUCUAUAUUUCCAGAAGGAAUUCCUUUAGGAACCCUGAACUUGAGGCUGCCGUUAUAAAGGCCACAAGUCACGAUGAAUUACACAUUGAUAAAAGGAGUGCGCAGGUUGUGUUUUCGUGGAUUCGAGCGUCGCCCGUUAGCCUAGGUCCUCUUAUAUGGGCCUUGUCUAGGAGGAUGGAGAAGACUCGGAGUUGGGUGGUGGCCAUUAAAGGGUUGAUGCUCAUGCAUGGCAUUUUCCAUUGUAAGGCACCAGUGGUUCAAAUGAUGCAGCGUUUACCCUUUGAUCUUUCCACUUUCAGCGAUGGACAUUCCAAGCCCAGCAAAACCUGGGGUUUCAAUAGUAUCAUCCGUGAGUACUUUGCGUUUCUAGAUCAAAGAGCUGCCAUUUUUUUAGAGCAAGAUAAUCAGAACAACAACAACAAAGUCGAGGAGCGUUUGUUGUUGGUGCAACAGCUUUUGAAAUUGGAGAAAUGGCAAUCUUUGCUUGAUUUGUUGCUUCAAAUUAGGCCUCGAGCGGAGAAUAUGAAGGUUAGGCUGAUUAUGGAAGCCAUGGAUUGUGUGAUCAUUGAGAUAUACGAUGUUUACGGUAUAAUCUGCAACGAGAUUGCCAAGAUUUUGUUGAAAAUAUAUUCCGUAAGCAAACAUGAAGCGGCAAUGGCGCUUAGGGUUCUUCAAAAGGCAAUGAAACAGAGUGAAGAGCUUUCUCUCUUCUUCGAGUUCUGCAAGGAAUAUGGCGUCCUAAACGCCACCGAACUCCCCACCGUUACUCGGAUCCCUGAAGAAGACGUUGAAGAACUUGAGAGGAUAAUGAAUGGGGUUUCAGUUCCAGAGAAGACGAUCAAUUACAAGGAGGGUUUCGAGGAAAUGAACCAAAUGGAAAUGACAGCAGUUGUGGAAGAAUACACAAGGGGAACUUUGAGGACGAUAAUUACAGACAAAUGGGUGGUUUUCGAGGAAAACGAUGAACAACAGUAUGGUUUCUCUAAUGAAACCAAAAUUGUUGCAGAAGAUGAUGCUGAUGGAUCAACAGAGAAAAAGUCACAACCACAAGUUGGUAGUGAAACCGGUAGCCAACCGACGGCCAUCAACAAUUAAAUCACUGAUAAGUUAUCUUUCUUCAGCUGUUAAUGAUAAUUUAUAGAUAAUUGCUUAGCAAUCCCCUUCUAAAACAAUAUCCCUUAACCCCAUGUCAUAGGGAGCGAAAAGUCGCCUGAGCUUUCGCCACAAAGGGAGAUUUGAUGUGAGCAGCGCAUUCAACGUAAGCCCCCAUGCACAUACUUUGGGCAUCUCUAAUCAGAAUCCCGAGCGUAGCAUCACCAACUGUGUGGUAGAAACUAGCAUAGAAGUUAACCUUGCAAAUCCCAGGAGGGUGUGCGACCCAACCCUUUUCACGUCUCGGGUUCCUAAAGGUCAAUUCAUCUAAUUUUCAAGAAAACCCAUCAAGGAACCCUAGAGAACUGGAUUGAUAAUAGUGGAAUGGCAGAUUUGGUGUUAAAAAGAAGUAUGGAUGGAAACGUGAUUUGGAGAAACUUAUGAGCCCAGCCCACACACGCUACCAUGCGCCUUGGACCUUUUGCCAAAUCAAACUCCACUAUCAUUUCUAAAACGAAGACGCAGGCAGGCUCCAACUAUCAAAAUCAGAAUCAAAGUUUUUGCAUGCAUUUUUAUAGUUCGUGGUGAAUCUCUAGUAAUAGAUUGUUAUUAACAUUAGCCUGAAAUAGGAUUGGUGUUAUUGUGAGAGUAAAAAGAAUAAUAAGCACUCUAAAUUAAGAGAUACAAGCACCAAAUUUCUUAUGAUCCCAAAUGAAACGCAAUUUCAUGGGGAUCG